GCACUUUGUAGUGCAGAGGAGUGGAGUGUAAAGCACUUCACCCUGCCCUCCUCCUGGGAGCAGGGAAUGAAUUAUUAACAGGGUUUAUCGCCUCUGUUUCCUCAUCCCAGGCUACAAACCCUCACAGAGAAACGGAAAUGGAACCGGAGCUGUGGCUCCUCUCACCAAACACAGCAGUUACAGCAGGAAAAAAAUAUUGAUCAGGAGAUUUUUACCUCAGGAAAAGCCUCAGGAGAAAAUGGGCUCCAGCUGAGUCUGUGUCCAAGAUGCUGCUGGGCUCUUUUGGGAGGCAGAUCCCAAACCAGCAUCUCCCUGCAAUGUUUUGGGGAGAAAUCACAGGCAUUUGGGAAGCUGAGCAUCCACCUCCUCCCUCUAGGACUAAAAUCCUUUGGGGUUUCCCUGAAACCUCUCCUGGAAACUAACCCAAGCACAAAGCAAGCCUUACUCCAAGGCAGAAGGGAAAAGAAAGGACACGAUUCCCUGUGGGAGCAGCAGCAAGGGCAGGAGGCACAGAGGGGAAAAGUGACAGCAGAGGUUUGAAGCUGGGAAUCUGCUUACAAACCUCGUGGAUCCUUUUGGGUUUUCCACCUCAGCCUCCUGCACAGGAGAGGGACCAGGAGCAUCCUGGCACUCCCCUAAAGGUUCUGGGCUCUGGAUCCCCGGGCAGGGAUGGGUUUGCAAUCCCAGUUUGGCUCAGCUGCUGCUGCCAUUGCCCACAAACACCCACACAGGCAGCAGCCCCAGGGAUGGGAUGGGAUGGGAUGGGUGGGAUGUCCCUGGAAGCCACUCAGGGUCCAGCUCCUCCCAGGGACUCUCCUGGCCCAGCCAUGAGCUCACCAGGGACACGAUGGGGUUUAUUUAGCUCCAGGCACUGCCAUCCCUGAGGAGUUUCCAGCAUCCAGACCUGGGAAUGAAUCCCAGGAGAUUCCUGGUUUUGGGGAGCAGCACCAGCCCCAUCCUGGGCCCCUCUCCCAGCCCCAGCAAAGAGGCACCGAGACACUCCCAAGUUAAACUCUCCAUUUAUUGGAACCUUUUACAAAAAACUCAACAUUGUGCUCGUGUCGAAGGAGUGUUCCUUGUCUCUCAGUUCCUGUUGGAUUUGAAAUCCUGGUGCUCACAGCACCGAGGGCACAAGGGGAGGGAGUGACACGGGCAGGGUGGGGCCGUGUCACCUCAGUCGUUGCUAUUUACAGUGGGAAAGGCCUCGCUCCGUGCCCGGGGGAAGCAGCAGGAACUCUGGAACAGGGAAAAGGUGCAGCUGCCGAGAGCCCUUCCCAUCUCCUCAGGGCUGGGGCGGUGGAGCUGGGAUGGAUCACACAACCAAACCUGAGCUUCGGAGUGCCCCAGGGAUGCCCUGAAAAUCCCGGGAGAACGAUGGGUGGUGGCAAGGAAGGCUGUUGGGGUGGCAGCACGGGCAGGAGCACUCUCUGGAAAAGCCCCCUCCUCCUCUGGAGGGGCUCAGGACAGCUCAGGUGCUGGCAUGUCUGAGGAGCAGCAAGCUGGGCUGUCAAUCCCAAUCCUGCACUCCAGGGGUUCGGUGGUGUUUGGGGUGAUUUGGGAAAGAGCUGCAGCAGUAGGACCGGGAGGGGCAGCACAGCCCUGUGGGUGGGUGGGGAAGGUGUUCCUGCUGGCAUUUCAUUUCCCCACAGAAUUCCAUCCCUCCCAAUGCUGCUGCUGCCCAGGUAUCUCCCAGGAAAAGCCUCUUUACCCCUUCACCCCCAAAUCUUUCCCCUUUAGGGGUGCUCAGCAAGGAGGAAUUCAUCCCACGACACGCAGAGAGAUCCCCCUGCACAUCCUGUCCUUGCUCCAGCACAGUGGACAGGGGAACCCUCC